rnacentral:rRNA from 1 species
AGCGAACGUUAGCGGCACGCCUAACACAUGCAAGUCGCACGAGAAAGGGAGCAAUCCUGAGUAAAGUGGCGCACGGGUGCGUAACACGUAGAUAACCUGCCCUUUGGAGGGGGAUAACGUUCCGAAAGGAGCGCUAAUACCGCAUAACGCCUUUCCCGGUUUGCCGGGGAUUGACAAAGGUAGGGACCCGCAAGGGCCUAUCGCCAGAGGAGGGGUCUGCGGCCCAUCAGCUAGUUGGGGAGGUAAUGGCUCACCAAGGCAGAGACGGGUAGCUGGUCUGAGAGGAUGAUCAGCCACACUGGUACUGGAACACGGACCAGACUCCUACGGGAGGCUG